AACGAACGCUGGCGGCAGGCCUAACACAUGCAAGUCGAGCGAGACCUUCGGGUCUAGCGGCGGACGGGUGAGUAACGCGUGGGAACGUGCCCUUUUCUACGGAAUAGCCUCGGGAAACUGAGCGUAAUACCGUAUACGCCCUUUGGGGGAAAGAUUUAUCGGAGAAGGAUCGGCCCGCGUUGGAUUAGGUAGUUGGUGGGGUAAUGGCCUACCAAGCCUACGAUCCAUAGCUGGUUUGAGAGGAUGAUCAGCCACACUGGGACUGAGACACGGCCCAGACUCCUACGGGAGGCAGCAGUGGGGAAUCUUAGACAAUGGGGGCAACCCUGAUCGAGCCAUGCCGCGUGAGUGAUGAAGGCCUUAGGGUUGUAAAGCUCAUUCAGCUGGGAAGAUAAUGACGGUACCAGCAGAAGAAGCCCCGGCUAACUCCGUG
rnacentral:rRNA from 1 species